ensembl:rRNA 5S_rRNA 5S ribosomal RNA
UUGAACAGUCAUACCACCCUGAGCGUGCCAGAUCUCAUCUGAUCUAGGAAGCUAAGCAGGGUCGGGCCUGGUUUGUGCUGGAUAGGAGACAAAAUACUUUUCUAA